CCUCAACCACCUUUGGCUUGGGGGCCUCCUUUGGGGCUUCUUUCUUGACAUCCUUUGCCUUAGGCUCCUUAGGAGGAGCGGCCUUUUUCUGAACAGGAGGUACAGACUCUGCCUGCUUGACCUCACCAAUGACCUUCUUGAAGUUAGGCUGGUUAACCAUGGUCCAGAAAUACCUCUCGACAUGAGGGAAAUCAGAAGUGAAGCUCUUGGUCAAGAUCCGUGCAAUUCCAUGGUAGAGGUUGCAUGUCAAUACAAUGUCAGCUAGAGUAACAGAAUGCCCAACAAG
rnacentral:lncRNA from 1 species